UACGAAGGUGGCAAGCGUUGUUCGGAUUUACUGGGCGUACAGGGAGCGUAGGCGGUUGGGUAAGCCCUCCGUGAAAUCUCCGGGCCUAACCCGGAAAGUGCGGAGGGGACUGCUCGGCUAGAGGAUGGGAGAGGAGCGCGGAAUUCCCGGUGUAGCGGUGAAAUGCGCAGAUAUCAGGAAGAACACCCGUGGCGAAGGCGGCUCUCUGGGACGGUACUGACGCUGAGACGCGAAAGCGUGGGGAGCGAACAGG
rnacentral:rRNA from 1 species